rnacentral:rRNA from 1 species
GCGCGUACUGCUCUGUUGGCUCAGGACGAACGCUGGCGGCGUGCCUAAUACAUGCAAGUCGAGCGAGCUGAAUUCAAAGAUUCCUUCGGGAUGAUUUGUUGGACGCUAGCGGCGGAUGGGUGAGUAACACGUGGGCAAUCUGCCCUAAAGACUGGGAUACCACUUGGAAACAGGUGCUAAUACCGGAUAACAACAUGAAUCGCAUGAUUCAAGUUUGAAAGGCGGCGUAAGCUGUCACUUUAGGAUGAGCCCGCGGCGCAUUAGCUAGUUGGUGGGGUAAAGGCCUACCAAGGCAAUGAUGCGUAGCCGAGUUGAGAGACUGAUCGGCCACAUUGGGACUGAGACACGGCCCAAACUCCUACGGGAGGCAGCAGUAGGGAAUCUUCCACAAUGGACGCAAGUCUGAUGGAGCAACGCCGCGUGAGUGAAGAAGGUUUUCGGAUCGUAAAGCUCUGUUGUUGGUGAAGAAGGAUAGAGGCAGUAACUGGUCUUUAUUUGACGGUAAUCAACCAGAAAGUCACGGCUAACUACGUGCCAGCAGCCGCGGUAAUACGUAGGUGGCAAGCGUUGUCCGGAUUUAUUGGGCGUAAAGCGAGCGCAGGCGGAAUGAUAAGUCUGAUGUGAAAGCCCACGGCUCAACCGUGGAACUGCAUCGGAAACUGUCAUUCUUGAGUGCAGAAGAGGAGAGUGGAAUUCCAUGUGUAGCGGUGGAAUGCGUAGAUAUAUGGAAGAACACCAGUGGCGAAGGCGGCUCUCUGGUCUGACAGUAAGGA